rnacentral:rRNA from 1 species
GGGUUGUGAGGUUAAGCGACUAAGCGUACACGGUGGAUGCCCUGGCAGUCAGAGGCGAUGAAGGACGUGCUAAUCUGCGAAAAGCGUCGGUAAGGUGAUAUGAACCGUUAUAGCCGGCGAUGUCCGAAUGGGGAAACCCAGUGUGAUUCGUCACACUAUCGUUAACUGAAUACAUAGGUUAACGAGGCGAACCGGGGGAACUGAAACAUCUAAGUACCCCGAGGAAAAGAAAUCAACCGAGAUUCCCCCAGUAGCGGCGAGCGAACGGGGAGCAGCCCAGAGUCUGAAUCAGCUUGUGUGUUAGUGGAACGGUCUGGAAAGUCCGACGGUACAGGGUGAUAGUCCCGUACACCAAAAUGCACAGGCUGUGAACUCGAAGAGUAGGGCGGGACACGUGGUAUCCUGUCUGAAUAUGGGGGGACCAUCCUCCAAGGCUAAAUACUCCUGACUGACCGAUAGUGAACCAGUACCGUGAGGGAAAGGCGAAAAGAACCCCGGCGAGGGGAGUGAAAAAGAACCUGAAACCGUGUACGUACAAGCAGUGGGAGCACCUUUAUGGUGUGACUGCGUACCUUUUGUAUAAUGGGUCAGCGACUUAUAUUCUGUAGCAAGGUUAACCGUAUAGGGGAGCCGCAGGGAAACCGAGUCUUAACUGGGCGUUAAGUUGCAGGGUAUAGACCCGAAACCCGGUGAUCUAGCCAUGGGCAGGUUGAAGGUUGGGUAACACUAACUGGAGGACCGAACCGACUAAUGUUGAAAAAUUAGCGGAUGACUUGUGGCUGGGGGUGAAAGGCCAAUCAAACCGGGAGAUAGCUGGUUCUCCCCGAAAGCUAUUUAGGUAGCGCCUCGUGAACUCAUCUUCGGGGGUAGAGCACUGUUUCGGCUAGGGGGUCAUCCCGACUUACCAACCCGAUGCAAACUACGAAUACCGAAGAAUGUUAUCACGGGAGACACACGGCGGGUGCUAACGUCCGUCGUGAAGAGGGAAACAACCCAGACCGCCAGCUAAGGUCCCAAAGUCAUGGUUAAGUGGGAAACGAUGUGGGAAGGCACAGACAGCCAGGAUGUUGGCUUAGAAGCAGCCAUCAUUUAAAGAAAGCGUAAUAGCUCACUGGUCGAGUCGGCCUGCGCGGAAGAUGUAACGGGGCUAAACCAUGCACCGAAGCUGCGGCAGCGACACUAUGUGUUGUUGGGUAGGGGAGCGUUCUGUAAGCCUGCGAAGGUGACCUGUGAGGGUUGCUGGAGGUAUCAGAAGUGCGAAUGCUGACAUAAGUAACGAUAAAGCGGGUGAAAAGCCCGCUCGCCGGAAGACCAAGGGUUCCUGUCCAACGUUAAUCGGGGCAGGGUGAGUCGACCCCUAAGGCGAGGCCGAAAGGCGUAGUCGAUGGGAAACAGGUUAAUAUUCCUGUACUUGGUGUUACUGCGAAGGGGGGACGGAGAAGGCUAUGUUAGCCGGGCGACGGUUGUCCCGGUUUAAGCAUGUAGGCUGGUUAUCCAGGCAAAUCCGGAUAAUCAAGGCUGAGGUGUGAUGACGAGGCACUACGGUGCUGAAGUAACAAAUGCCCUGCUUCCAGGAAAAGCCUCUAAGCAUCAGGUAACACGAAAUCGUACCCCAAACCGACACAGGUGGUCAGGUAGAGAAUACCAAGGCGCUUGAGAGAACUCGGGUGAAGGAACUAGGCAAAAUGGUGCCGUAACUUCGGGAGAAGGCACGCUGGUGUGUAGGUGAAGUCCCUGCGGAUGGAGCUGAGACCAGUCGAAGAUACCAGCUGGCUGCAACUGUUUAUUAAAAACACAGCACUGUGCAAACACGAAAGUGGACGUAUACGGUGUGACGCCUGCCCGGUGCCGGAAGGUUAAUUGAUGGGGUUAUCCGUAAGGAGAAGCUCUUGAUCGAAGCCCCGGUAAACGGCGGCCGUAACUAUAACGGUCCUAAGGUAGCGAAAUUCCUUGUCGGGUAAGUUCCGACCUGCACGAAUGGCGUAAUGAUGGCCAGGCUGUCUCCACCCGAGACUCAGUGAAAUUGAACUCGCUGUGAAGAUGCAGUGUACCCGCGGCAAGACGGAAAGACCCCGUGAACCUUUACUAUAGCUUGACACUGAACAUUGAGCCUUGAUGUGUAGGAUAGGUGGGAGGCUUUGAAGCGUGGACGCCAGUCUGCGUGGAGCCAACCUUGAAAUACCACCCUUUAAUGUUUGAUGUUCUAACGUUGGCCCCUUAUCGGGGUUGCGGACAGUGUCUGGUGGGUAGUUUGACUGGGGCGGUCUCCUCCCAAAGCGUAACGGAGGAGCACGAAGGUUAGCUAAUCCUGGUCGGACAUCAGGAGGUUAGUGCAAUGGCAUAAGCUAGCUUGACUGCGAGCGUGACGGCGCGAGCAGGUGCGAAAGCAGGUCAUAGUGAUCCGGUGGUUCUGAAUGGAAGGGCCAUCGCUCAACGGAUAAAAGGUACUCCGGGGAUAACAGGCUGAUACCGCCCAAGAGUUCAUAUCGACGGCGGUGUUUGGCACCUCGAUGUCGGCUCAUCACAUCCUGGGGCUGAAGUAGGUCCCAAGGGUAUGGCUGUUCGCCAUUUAAAGUGGUACGCGAGCUGGGUUUAGAACGUCGUGAGACAGUUCGGUCCCUAUCUGCCGUGGGCGCUGGAGAAUUGAGGGGGGCUGCUCCUAGUACGAGAGGACCGGAGUGGACGCAUCACUGGUGUUCGGGUUGUCAUGCCAAUGGCACUGCCCGGUAGCUAAAUGCGGAAGAGAUAAGUGCUGAAAGCAUCUAAGCACGAAACUUGCCCCGAGAUAAGUUCUCCCUGAGACUUUAAGUCUCCUGAAGGAACGUUGAAGACGACGACGUUGAUAGGCCGGGUGUGUAAGCGCAGCGAUGCGUUGAGCUAACCGGUACUAAUGAACCGUGAGGCUUAACCUUACAACGCCGAAG